GACGAACGCUGGCGGCGUGCUUAACACAUGCAAGUCGAACGGAAAGGCCCUGCUUGCAGGGUGCUCGAGUGGCGAACGGGUGAGUAACACGUGGGUGAUCUGCCCCUUACUUUGGGAUAAGCCUGGGAAACUGGGUCUAAUACUGGAUAGGACCAUGCUGUAGGUGGUGUGGUGGAAAGAUUAGUUUCGGUAAGGGAUGAGCUCGCGGCCUAUCAGCUUGUUGGUGGGGUAAUGGCCUACCAAGGCGUCGACGGGUAGCCGGCCUGAGAGGGUGGACGGCCACAUUGGGACUGCGAUACGGCCCAGACUCCUACGGGAGGCAGCAGUGGGGAAUAUUGCACAAUGGGCGCAAGCCGGAUGCAGCGACGCCGCGUGGGGGAUGACGGCCUUCGGGUUGUAAACUCCUUUCAGCCAUGACGAAGCCCUUGUGGUGACGGUAGUGGUAGAAGAAGCACCGGCUAACUACGUG
rnacentral:rRNA from 1 species